GAUCGGCCACACUGGGACUGAGACACGGCCCAGACUCCUACGGGAGGCAGCAGUAGGGAAUCUUCCACAAUGGGCGAAAGCCUGAUGGAGCAACGCCGCGUGAGUGAAGAAGGAUUUCGGUUCGUAAAACUCUGUUGUAAGGGAAGAACAAGUACAGUAGUAACUGGCUGUACCUUGACGGUACCUUAUUAGAAAGCCACGGCUAACUACGUGCCAGCAGCCGCGGUAAUACGUAGGUGGCAAGCGUUGUCCGGAAUUAUUGGGCGUAAAGCGCGCGCAGG
rnacentral:rRNA from 1 species